UUACUAAAGAUAAACCUCUUUUUCUUCCACACUGAUUAUAUUCACAUCUUGGAACUAAUGGAUGUGGAAGAAGAAGAGGUUUAUCUUCAGUAA
rnacentral:pre_miRNA from 1 species